UAGUCAUAUAAAUUAUAAUUGCUAAUAAUAAUGAUCUUUACAUUCUCAUUCACGCUC
rnacentral:sRNA from 14 species